UUUUUUAAUAAAAAUUGCGAACAAACGUGCAGGCGGGUCACCGAAAUUAAGUGAUUACCGCCGCCCAUGAACAUUUGCAGUGCCAGAGGAACUGCCGAUGCGUUGCCGGCCUUUCAGGAAUUUGUUGGAAUGUAAUGUACAUUG